GGGUGUAUAGCUCAGCGGGAGAGCACUUCGUUGACAUCGAAGGGGUCACUGGUUCAAUCCCAGUUAUACCCACCA
rnacentral:tRNA from 2 species